AGGCGUGUGGCUAAUUUUUUUUUUUAGUAGAGACGUUUCACCAUUUUGGCCAGGCUGGUCUCGAACUUCUGACCUCAGCUAAUCCACCUGCCUUGGCCUCCCAAAUUCCUGGGAUUACAGGUGUGAGCCACCGCACUUGGCCCCCAUAAAAUGGUUUUUAAUAAUAAAAGAUUUCAUAGAAAUUAAAAACUUAUGCUCAUCAAAAAAAGGAAAUAGACAUGUUAAAACUUGAAAUAAAAUACUUGCAAAACGAGACAAAAGACUGGAAUCAGGAUAUAUAAAGAAUUAAAAAAAAUAGAUUAGGAAAUGGGUGAGACAUUUGAAUAGGCACUUCACAGUUGACCAUUAAGCACAUGAAAAAGUGUUCAACCUCUAGCAAUUCGAUUAUGAUGAUCCUUGGUAUUGUUUUAUGUUUCUUAUUACUUGGGUUCAUUCAGGUUCUUUGAUCAUUGGCUUUUUAUUUCAGGCCACGUUAAAGGCUGACUAGUUUUUCCUCCUGAGGAAAGAGGAGAAAUUUGAUUGCAAUGCAUCGUUGGACUUUACAAUUUUCUUGACAUCUGUUUCUGCAAAAGAAUGUGUUUAAAGGGUGUUAUAUUCUUAAAAGUGCCUAGGAUGGCUACAUAAAAUGUUUAGUAAAAGCACUGCCUGUAUAAAUACAUGUAAGACCUUUCAGUUACAUACUCAGACAUGUGGAGUAAACUUGAUACUAUUAAUAGUUUUCUUUGACUCUUUAUAGGUGUCGAUUUUGCUUGAGAAUAUUGAAGGUCUUGACAGAAGUUGUGGAUUUCAGUUUUAACAAAUGUGUUUUAAGUGGAAGAGCAUUUUCCUGGUCUUGUCCCUCCAAUUUGAGAAUUAGAAAUGCCAUGUUUAUGAUUAUUCAGCUGUAUUUGUUGCUAACUUGUAAAGCAAUACAAACAUUUUUUGGUCUGUUUGACUGAAUUUGUCCCACAACUCAUUGUUGCUCUGUUCAUUUUUUUCCAGGUUUCUUUUUUCUUUCUGUGUUUCAUUUUGGAUAGUUUUUAUUGCUAUGCUAUGUUUUCAAUUUGUCUUUUUAUUUUUGGCAGCAUCCUGUCUGGUAUUUAACUAAUUCAGUGAAAUUUUCAAUCUCAGACAUUUUAAAAAACCUUUAGAACUAAGUUCAAAUUGAGUCUUUAAAAAUACGUUUAUGC
rnacentral:lncRNA from 10 species